rnacentral:rRNA from 1 species
AACGAACGCUGGCGGCAUGCCUAACACAUGCAAGUCGAACGGAUGGUCGCAAGACCAUUAGUGGCGGACGGGUGCGUAACGCGUGGGAACCUGCCUUGAAGUUCGGAAUAACUGCGGGAAACUGCAGCUAAUACCGGAUGUGGCCUGUGGGCCAAAGGGGAAACUCGCUUCAAGAGGGGCCCGCGUCCGAUUAGCUAGUUGGCGGGGUAAC